rnacentral:lncRNA from 1 species
UUGACCCCAAAGACCAUGGUGCUAAUCAGACUGUGCUCCUUAGGGUGGGGAAGGUGAAAGAAUUCUUUUGGGAGAAAGACACCAAGUGAGGCAGUCCUCAAGGCUAACACACAAAAUGACCAGGACGGUAUUUACCUGCCCUGCCCUUGCAAAGAAGCGUGUCCAGGAGCUGUUGUGUGUUCCCUCCUUGUUCCCCAUUAGCCAAUGUCAUCUGGGGAUUCCUGCAUCCUGAGCAGCACCACAGGCAGGCAGGCAGCGAAGGAGAUGCACUGCCCACCUUCCAGCAACUUGCCACCGGAUAUUUGCACGGCAUCCCCGCCUCUUCUUCACUCAGAAAUCACCAAGACUGAGAUAACUCAGCCCUUUAUCUUUCUACUUCAAUCAAACUGCGGUCUGAUAUACAUUUAACCCAAAGAGUCCAUAUGGUGACUGGGACCAGAGUAAAUGAACUCCAUGUGUGCUUGUGCUUCGCUUUUUCUCCCCACUCAUGCCAGCUUCCUAACAAAAUGCAGCUUAUAAAAUUGCUUAUUUGUACCAUGCACCAGUUUUCCCAUUAAUAAUCAGUAAUAUUAGUAUACCGUCUACCCUAGUGGCUCUCCAUCCCUCAGGAACAGUCUGGCCAGAAAUCUAAAAGCAUGCACUGCAGUCUGUGAAAUUCUUACUCGGCUGUUAUUUUGGAGCUCUUGGAAGCAGCGUGCUCAGAUGGCUGACAGCGUCAGAAUGGGAAAUACCUGCUCCAGAGGGGGCCAGCCAAACAAUCUCGGUUGGUUUUAUUGCUGCCAUAUCCAGGAAUCAGGUGCUUGGAAAAAAUAUGCUGACAGGACCAGACUGAGGAAACUGUGAUGCCAUCUGGGGUCAGGAAGAGAUUUUUGUCCAAAUGCCAACUGCGGGGGCUGAGGCAGUGUGGUGCUCUGCUGGCAUGAGUCUGGAAUAACCCAGGAGGUACUGAGGAAAGCAAGGAGAAAAGCAUCCCAGAAUGUCAUCAGGGAGAAUUGGGGACUUUGGUAAAGAUGAGGAAGACCCUGAGGUUUGAACCUUCUGCACGAGACAUUCUGGAAAAUGUUUUAUUUUGGGAAAUUUCAAACAUAUGCAAAAGUAGUGAC